AAGGAAGAAAAAAAGUCGCAGGCAAAGACCAUCGCUUUCUUUCUUUCUUUAUUUUUCGCUCAAUUUUCUUUCUUUCUUUCUUUCUUUCUUUCUUUC
rnacentral:ribozyme from 1 species